UUAACCUGGGCCACCCUCAAUAGUCCGUUUCCUUCAAAAGGACAGAGAGGCUGUUACCCCUUCUCACACACACUUAUUCUAUUGAGGCUAUGUACUGAUUUUCUAAAACCAAAAGGAGAGGGAGGCUACUGCUGGGACAAGAGAGUUGUGCAAAGUGUGUCCUCUGCUGUCAAACUGCCUGCACUGCUUGCUAACGCGGCGACUGCAAAGAUCCACCCAGAAAUUCUACCACUUACUUUGUGCCUGCAUGGGCCGCAGCGUGGAAACAUUGGAUAUUUCUAAUAUCUCUUGUAAUCUUCACGGCAUCCCCCAGGAAAGGUGGUCUAAUUAUUCCCCCCCCCCUUUUUUUUUUGGAUGAAGAAACUGAGGCACAGAGAGGUGAAAUUCCCUGCCCUGAGUUGGGUCACCUAACUCAGCCAACAAUUCAAGCAGCCUGAACACACCCCUUAACCGAACGGUGUUUUAACUCCGACUGUAGCCGUCAGUCAUCCACCCACCUCUGGGUGCUGGGGGGGAAAGUGAGGCUCGGGGAACAGGAGGGACCGGGUCCCCUGGCUCCCCGCCCCGAGCUCUUCUCGUCACCCAGGGCGCCACUGCGAGGGCGGACGGGGACUCCCGCAGGUAACCUGGAGCUAAGCGAGGCAGCAUCGAGAUUUCAUUUAUUUAUUCAUGAGAGACAGAGGCAGAGGGAGAAGCAGGCUCCAUGCAGGGAGCCCGACGUGGGACUCGAUCCCUGGUCUCCAGGAUCACGCCCUGGGCUGAAGGCGGCGCUAAGCCGCUGGGCCACCGGGGCUGCCCCGCAAAGAAUAAUCCUAAUAAAACAUCUA